rnacentral:lncRNA from 1 species
GAGUUAGCGACAGGGAGGGAUGCGCGCCUGGGUGUAGUUGUGGGGGAGGAAGUGGCUAGCUCAGGGCUUCAGGGGACAGACAGGGAGAGAUGACUGAGUUAGAUGAGACGAGGGGGCGGGCUGGGGGUGCGAGAAGGAAGCUUGGCAAGGAGACUAGGUCUAGGGGGACCACAGUGGGGCAGGCUGCAUGGAAAAUAUCCGCAGGGUCCCCCAGGCAGAACAGCCACGCUCCAGGCCAGGCUGUCCCUACUGCCUGGUGGAGGGGGAACUUGACCUCUGGGAGGGCGCCGCUCUUGCAUAGCUGAGCGAGCCCGGGUGCGCUGGUCUGUGUGGAAGGAGGAAGGCAGGGAGAGGUAGAAGGGGUGGAGGAGUCAGGAGGAAUAGGCCGCAGCAGCCCUGGAAAUGAUCAGGAAGGCAGGCAGUGGGUGCAGGGCUGCAGGAGGGCCGGGAGGGCUAAUCUUCAACUUGUCCAUGCCAGCAGCCCCUUUUUUUCCAGACCAAGGGCUGUGAACCCGCCUGGGGAUGAGGCCUGGUCUUGUGGAACUGAACUUAGCUCGACGGGGCUGACCGCUCUGGCCCAGGGUGGUAUGUAAUUUUCGCUCGGCCUGGGACGGGGCCCAGGCCGGGCCCAGCCUGGUGGAGCGUCCAGGUCUGGGUGCGAAGCCAGGCCCCUGGGCGGAGGUGAGGGGUGGUCUGAGGAGUGAUGUGGAGUUAAGGCGCCAUCCUCACCGGUGACUGGUGCGGCACCUAGCAUGUUUGACAGGCGGGGACUGCGAGGCACGCUGCUCGGGUGUUGGGGACAACAUUGACCAACGCUUUAUUUUCCAGGUGGCAGUGCUCCUUUUGGACUUUUCUCUAGGUUUGGCGCUAAACUCUUCUUGUGAGCUCACUCCACCCCUUCUUCCUCCCUUUAACUUAUCCAUUCACUUAAAACAUUACCUGGUCAUCUGGUAAGCCCGGGACAGUAAGCCGAGUGGCUGUUGGAGUCGGUAUUGUUGGUAAUGGUGGAGGAAGAGAGGCCUUCCCGCUGAGGCUGGGGUGGGGCGGAUCGGUGUUGCUUGCCUGCAGAGAGGGUGGGGAGUGAAUGUGCACCCUUGGGUGGGCCUGCAGCCAUCCAGCUGAAAGUUACAAAAAUGCUUCAUGGACCGUGGUUUGUUACUAUAGUGUUCCUCAUGGCGAGCAGAUGGAACCGGGAGACAUGGAGUCCCUGGCCAGUGUGAGUCCUAGCAUUGCAGGAGGGGAGACCCUGGAGGAGAGAGCCCGCCUCAAUUGAUGCCUGCAGAUUGAAUUUCCAGAGGCUUAGGAGGAGGAAGUUCUCCAAUGUUCUGUUUCCAGGCCUUGCUCAGGAAGCCCUGUAUUCAGGAGGCUACCAUUUAAAGUUUGCAGAUGAGCUUAUGGGGGGCAAUCUUAAAAAGUCCACAGCAGAUGCAUCCGGCUCGAGGGGCCAUCAGCUUUGAAUAAAUGCUUGUUCCAGAGCCCAUGAAUGCCAGCAGGCACCCCUCCUUUCCUGGGGUAAAGGUUUUCAGAUGCUGCAUCUUCUAAAUUGAGCCUCCGGUCAUACUAGUUUUGUGCUUGGAACCUUGCUUCAAGAAGAUCCCUAAGCUGUAGAACAUUUUAACGUUGAUGCCACAACGCAGAUUGAUGCCUUGUAGAUGGAGCUUGCAGAUGGAGCCCCGUGACCUCUCACCUACCCACCUGUUUGCCUGCCUUCUUGUGCGUUUCUCGGAGAAGUUCUUAGCCUGAUGAAAUAACUUGGGGCGUUGAAGAGCUGUUUAAUUUUAAAUGCCUUAGACUGGGGAUAUAUUAGAGGAAGCAGAUUGUCAAAUUAAGGGUGUCAUUGUGUUGUGCUAAACGCUGGGAGGGUACAAGUUGGUCAUUCCUAAAUCUGUGUGUGAGAAAUGGCAGGUCUAGUUUGGGCAUUGUGAUUGCAUUGCAGAUUACUAGGAGAAGGGAAUGGUGGGUACACCGGUAGUGCUCUUUUGUUCUUGCUUCGUUUUUUUAAACUUGAACUUUACUUCGUUAGAUUUCAUAAUACUUUCUUGGCAUUCUAGUAAGAGGACCCUGAGGGGACAGCUUGGCACCGGUCCCGUGGGCGUUGCAGUGUGGGGGAUGGGGGUAUGCAGCUUGGCACUGGUACUGGGAGGGAUGAGGGUGAAGAAGGGGAGAGGGUUGGUUAGAGAUACAGUGUGGGUGGUGGGGGUGGUAGGAAAUGCAGGUUGAAGGGAAUUCUCUGGGGCUUUGGGGAAUUUAGUGCGUGGGUGAGCCAAGAAAAUACUAAUUAAUAAUAGUAAGUUGUUAGUGUUGGUUAAGUUGUUGCUUGGAAGUGAGAAGUUGCUUAGAAACUUUCCAAAGUGCUUAGAACUUUAAGUGCAAACAGACAAACUAACAAACAAAAAUUGUUUUGCUUUGCUACAAGGUGGGGAAGACUGAAGAAGUGUUAACUGAAAACAGGUGACACAGAGUCACCAGUUUUCCGAGAACCAAAGGGAGGGGUGUGUGAUGCCAUCUCACAGGCAGGGGAAAUGUCUUUACCAGCUUCCUCCUGGUGGCCAAGACAGCCUGUUUCAGAGGGUUGUUUUGUUUGGGGUGUGGGUGUUAUCAAGUGAAUUAGUCACUUGAAAGAUGGGCGUCAGACUUGCAUACGCAGCAGAUCAGCAUCCUUCGCUGCCCCUUAGCAACUUAGGUGGUUGAUUUGAAACUGUGAAGGUGUGAUUUUUUCAGGAGCUGGAAGUCUUAGAAAAGCCUUGUAAAUGCCUAUAUUGUGGGCUUUUAACGUAUUUAAGGGACCACUUAAGACGAGAUUAGAUGGGCUCUUCUGGAUUUGUUCCUCAUUUGUCACAGGUGUCUUGUGAUUGAAAAUCAUGAGCGAAGUGAAAUUGCAUUGAAUUUCAAGGGAAUUUAGUAUGUAAAUCGUGCCUUAGAAACACAUCUGUUGUCUUUUCUGUGUUUGGUCGAUAUUAAUAAUGGCAAAAUUUUUGCCUAUCUAGUAUCUUCAAAUUGUAGUCUUUGUAACAACCAAAUAACCUUUUGUGGUCACUGUAAAAUUAAUAUUUGGUAGACAGAAUCCAUGUACCUUUGCUAAGGUUAGAAUGAAUAAUUUAUUGUAUUUUUAAUUUGAAUGUUUGUGCUUUUUAAAUGAGCCAAGACUAGAGGGGAAACUAUCACCUAAAAUCAGUUUGGAAAACAAGACCUAAAAAGGGAAGGGGAUGGGGAUUGUGGGGAGAGAGUGGGCGAGGUGCCUUUACUACAUGUGUGAUCUGAAAACCCUGCUUGGUUCUGAGCUGCGUCUAUUGAAUUGGUAAAGUAAUACCAAUGGCUUUUUAUCAUUUCCUUCUUCCCUUUAAGUUUCACUUGAAAUUUUAAAAAUCAUGGUUAUUUUUAUCGUUGGGAUCUUUCUGUCUUCUGGGUUCCAUUUUUUAAAUGUUUAAAAAUAUGUUGACAUGGUAGUUCAGUUCUUAACCAAUGACUUGGGGAUGAUGCAAACAAUUACUGUCGUUGGGAUUUAGAGUGUAUUAGUCACGCAUGUAUGGGGAAGUAGUCUCGGGUAUGCUGUUGUGAAAUUGAAACUGUAAAAGUAGAUGGUUGAAAGUACUGGUAUGUUGCUCUGUAUGGUAAGAACUAAUUCUGUUACGUCAUGUACAUAAUUACUAAUCACUUUUCUUCCCCUUUACAGCACAAAU